CUCUGUGUCACCACAAGAACAUCAAAGGAGGAAGCUUAUAAGCAAAAUAAAAUUGCCUGGGAAUAGGUACGAUUCUAAUCUCGGACUCUGAAACAUUUUAUCCCUGAAUACAGAAAACAACCUGAAGGGCUAUUUUUCUUGGCAGCUGUUAAAUGAGAGCAUGGAGCAUUUAUUGCCAGUUGGUGUAAGGAAAUGUCAUAGUUCAGACAACUCCUGUGCUAGUUUGGCCACUGCACUAGAACUGUACUCCUGGUGCUGCAACAGCAGACCCACAAAAAUGGAUAAUGAGGAGGCCAUCAGAGAAGAAAACAAGUGAUAAACAGCACACAGUCAUAGGGAGAUGAUGAAAUUUGAAGUCUUCUCUCAGAUUUAAAUGAGGGAGUUAUUCAAAUGAAAUUAACAGAGGGAUACUUAAAAUAAAG